rnacentral:lncRNA from 1 species
AUUUCUGUGAGUGCAUUCAUUGUCUCCUGAAGUUUUGAUUGUUUUUUUGUUUAUGCUAUCUAUUUUACUGAAAAUUUCUCCCCGCAUUUCUUGUAUCAUUUUUUGGAUUUCCUUAAAUUGGGCUUUGCCUUUCUCUGGUGCCUCCCUUAUAAGCUUAAUAACGAGCCUUCUGAAUUCUCUUUCAGCCAGCCAGCAAGUCUACCAGGCUCCAGACUGGUACUGGGGGUUGUCUGCACAGAGUCCUGUGAUGUGAACUGUCUGUGGGUCUCUCAGCUGUGGAUACCAGCACCUGCUCCCGUGGAGGUGGCACAGGAAUGAAAUGAACUCUGUAUGUAAAAAUGGAGGGGGGAGAAGGCAUGAAGCAUAUUACGAAUCUAAAGCCAUUAUACCAGAGAUACAAAUCUGAA